GCUGUCGUGGCCAACUGGUUAGGGCUUCAGACUUGGAACCAGAGGGUUGCUAGUUCGAGCCCCGACCAGUAGGA
rnacentral:tRNA from 1 species